UACGUAAGGGGCGAGCGUUGCUCGGAAUUACUGGGCGUAAAGGGCGUGUAGGCGGCCUGAUAAGUCGAAUGUAAAAAACCACGGCUUAACCGUGGGGCUGCGUUCGAAACUGACAGGCUUGAGUCUGGAGGAGGGUGAUGGAAUUCCCGGUGUAGCGGUGAAAUGCGUAGAUAUCGGGAAGAACACCGAAGGCUAAAGCAGUCAUCCAUUCCAAGACUGACGCUGAGGCGCGAAAGUAUGGGGAUCAAACAGG
rnacentral:rRNA from 1 species